ensembl:lncRNA
UUUGGAAACAGUUCAUAUGGAAGACGAGGAUCUGGAAAUGAGUUCCCUUGAAACCAUCUGUACAGACAUGGCCCGUGGAACAUCCUUCUGUCCUCUCCCUGUUUGGAAGCUUCCACCCAGAGGUUCAGGGCCCAGGAGCUCUGUCUGAGAGAGCGCUAAGGGCAGAGGGUUUUCUUGGACCUGUUUUGUGUGCAAAGCACGUAUAAGUCAAAGCCUUUUUCCGCAAGUGAGGUUGGUUAAGCAGAGAAAAGACAGCGAGGUGUUUUGUUUGUCUGGAAUCCUAUGGGCUUGGAGGCACAAUCUGGUGUACAGCAGGCCAGAGGGUCUGGAGUUAGCUGUGAUAUCAGAAACAGCAUUGCGGACUUCCCUGGUGGUCCAGUGGUUAAGAAUCAG